UACGUAGGGUGCAAGCGUUGUUCGGAAUCACUGGGCGUAAAGGGCGUGUAGGCGGUCAGGUAAGUGGGAUGUGAAAUGCCCCGGCUCACCCGGGGACCGGCAUCCCAUACUGCUUGGCUUGAGUACGGGAGAGGAUGUGGGAAUUCCUGGUGUAGCGGUGAAAUGCGUAGAUAUCAGGAGGAACACCGGUGGCGAAGGCGCACAUCUGGCCCGAUACUGACGCUGAGGCGCGAAAGCUAGGGGAGCAAACGGG
rnacentral:rRNA from 1 species